rnacentral:rRNA from 1 species
AUUGAACGCUGGCGGCAGGCUUAACACAUGCAAGUCGAGCGGAGAGAGGUAGCUUGCUACCGAUCUUAGCGGCGGACGGGUGAGUAAUGCUUAGGAAUCUGCCUAUUAGUGGGGGACAACAUUUCGAAAGGAAUGCUAAUACCGCAUACGUCCUACGGGGGAAAGCAGGGGAUCUUCGGACCUUGCGCUAAUAGAUGAGCCUAAGUGGGAUUAGCUAGUUGGUGGGGUAAAGGCCUACCAAGGCGACGAUCUGUAGCGGGUCUGAGAGGAUGAUCCGCCACACUGGGACUGAGACACGGCCCAGACUCCUACGGGAGGCAGCAGUGGGGAAUAUUAGACAAUGGGCGCAAGCCUGAUCCAGCCAUGCCGCGUGUGUGAAGAAGGCCUUAUGGUUGUAAAGCACUUUAAGCGAGGAGGAGGCUACUUUAGUUAAUACCUAGAGAUAGUGGACGUUACUCGCAGAAUAAGCACCGGCUAACUCUGUGCCAGCAGCCGCCGCAGUAA